rnacentral:rRNA from 1 species
AGCUCCAAUAGCGUAUAUUAAAGUUGUUGCGGUAAAAGCUCGUAGUUGGAUUUCUGUUGAGAAUCGCGGGUCCAUACAACGUAUGCGUAUCUCGUCGAGUCUCGGCAUCCUCUCGAAAGACGUCUCUGCGCUUGAUUGCGUGGAACGGAUUCCGGGACUUUUACUUUGAGGAAAUUAGAGUGUUCACGGCAGGCUACCGCCCGAAUACAUUAGCAUGGAAUAAUACUAUAGGAUCUUGAUUCUAUUUUGUUGGUUUCUAGGAUUAAGAUAAUGAUUAAUAGGGACAAUUGGGGGCAUUCGUAUCAACACGUCAGAGGUGGAAUUCUUGGAUUGUGUUGCGACGAACUACUGCGAAAGCAUUUGCCAAGGAUGUUUUCA